rnacentral:rRNA from 1 species
GUGUCAGCAGCCGCGGUAAGACGAACCGAGCAAACGUUAUUCGGAAUCACUGGGCUUAAAGGGCGCGUAGGCGGGCAUCCAAGUCUGUGGUGAAAUCCGGCAGCUUAACUGUCGAACUGCCGUGGAUACUGGGUGUCUCGAGGGAGGUAGGGGCGUGCGGAACUAUUGGUGGAGCGGUGAAAUGCGUUGAUAUCAAUAGGAACUCCGGUGGCGAAGGCGGCACGCUGGACCUCUUCUGACGCUGAGGCGCGAAAGCCAGGGGAGCAAACGGGAUUAGAUACCCCUGUAGUCC